AGACCCGAAACCCGGUGAUCUAGCCAUGGGCAGGUUGAAGGUUGGGUAACACUAACUGGAGGACCGAACCGACUAAUGUUGAAAAAUUAGCGGAUGACCUGUGGCUGGGGGUGAAAGGCCAAUCAAACCGGGAGAUAGCUGGUUCUCCCCGAAAGCUAUUUAGGUAGCGCCUCGUGAAUUCAUCUCCGGGGGUAGAGCACUGUUUCGGCUAGGGGGCCAUCCCGGCUUACCAACCCGAUGCAAACUGCGAAUACCGGAGAAUGUUAUCACGGGAGACACACGGCGGGUGCUAACGUCCGUCGUGAAGAGGGAAACAACCCAGACCGCCAGCUAAGGUCCCAAAGUCAUGGUUAAGUGGGAAACGAUGUGGGAAGGCCCAGACAGCCAGGAUGUUGGCUUAGAAGCAGCCAUCAUUUAAAGAAAGCGUAAUAGCUCACUGGUCGAGUCGGCCUGCGCGGAAGAUGUAACGGGGCUAAACCAUGCACCGAAGCUGCGGCAGCGACACUGUGUGUUGUUGGGUAGGGGAGCGUUCUGUAAGCCUGUGAAGGUGUGUCGUGAGGCAUGCUGGAGGUAUCAGAAGUGCGAAUGCUGACAUAAGUAACGAUAAAGCGGGUGAAAAGCCCGCUCGCCGGAAGACCAAGGGUUCCUGUCCAACGUUAAUCGGGGCAGGGUGAGUCGACCCCUAAGGCGAGGCCGAAAGGCGUAGUCGAUGGGAAACGGGUUAAUAUUCCCGUACUUGGUGUUACUGCGAAGGGGGGACGGAGAAGGCUAUGUUGGCCGGGCGACGGUUGUCCCGGUUUAAGCGUGUAGGUGUGUGUUCCAGGUAAAUCCGGUUCACUUUAACACUGAGGCGUGACGACGAGGCACUACGGUGCUGAAGCAACAAAUGCCCUGCUUCCAGGAAAAGCCUCUAAGCAUCAGGUAACAUCAAAUCGUACCCCAAACCGACACAGGUGGUCAGGUAGAGAAUACCAAGGCGCUUGAGAGAACUCGGGUGAAGGAACUAGGCAAAAUGGUGCCGUAACUUCGGGAGAAGGCACGCUGACACGUAGGUGAAGUGAUUUACUCAUGGAGCUGAAGUCAGUCGAAGAUACCAGCUGGCUGCAACUGUUUAUUAAAAACACAGCACUGUGCAAACACGAAAGUGGACGUAUACGGUGUGACGCCUGCCCGGUGCCGGAAGGUUAAUUGAUGGGGUCAGCGCAAGCGAAGCUCCUGAUCGAAGCCCCGGUAAACGGCGGCCGUAACUAUAACGGUCCUAAGGUAGCGAAAUUCCUUGUCGGGUAAGUUCCGACCUGCACGAAUGGCGUAAUGAUGGCCAGGCUGUCUCCACCCGAGACUCAGUGAAAUUGAACUCGCUGUGAAGAUGCAGUGUACCCGCGGCAAGACGGAAAGACCCCGUGAACCUUUACUAUAGCUUGACACUGAACAUUGAGCCUUGAUGUGUAGGAUAGGUGGGAGGCUUUGAAGCGUGGACGCCAGUCUGCGUGGAGCCGACCUUGAAAUACCACCCUUUAAUGUUU
rnacentral:rRNA from 3 species